rnacentral:rRNA from 1 species
GACGAACGCUGGCGGCGUGCUUAACACAUGCAAGUCGAACGGAAAGGCCCUGCUUUUGUGGGGUGCUCGAGUGGCGAACGGGUGAGUAACACGUGAGUAACCUGCCCUUGACUUUGGGAUAACUUCAGGAAACUGGGGCUAAUACCGGAUAGGAGCUCCUGCUGCAUGGUGGGGGUUGGAAAGUUUCGGCGGUUGGGGAUGGACUCGCGGCUUAUCAGCUUGUUGGUGGGGUAGUGGCUUACCAAGGCUUUGACGGGUAGCCGGCCUGAGAGGGUGACCGGCCAGAUUGGGACGGAGAUACGGCCCAGACUCCUACGGGAGGCAGCAGUGGGGAAUAUUGCACAAUGGGCGGAAGCCUGAUGCAGCAACGCCGCGUGCGGGAUGACGGCCUUCGGGUUGUAAACCGCUUUCGCCUGUGACGAAGCGUGAGUGACGGUAAUGGGUAAAGAAGCACCGGCUAACUAC